rnacentral:misc_RNA from 1 species
AGGUCUUGACAUCCCAAUGUAACGCCUAGAGAUAGGCGCCCUCUUCGGAGCAUUGGAGACAGGUGGUGCAUGGUUGUCGUCAGCUCGUGUCGUGAGAUGUUGGGUUAAGUCCCGCAACGAGCGCAACCCUUGAUCUUAGUUGCCAGCACUUCGGGUGGGCACUCUAAGAUGACUGCCGGUGACAAACCGGAGGAAGGUGGGGAUGACGUUUCCAGGUUAGG